CCUAGGGGUGGCAGCAGUGAGGAAUAUUGGUCAAUGGCCGGAAGGCUGAACCAGCCAAGUCGCGUGAGGGAAUAAGGCCCUAUGGGUCGUAAACCUCUGUUGUCAGGGAGCAAAGUCGUCCAUGAGUGGCCGAAAGGAGAGUACCUGAAGAAAAAGCAUCGGCUAACUCCGUGCCAGCAGCCGCGGUAAUACGGAGGAUGCGAGCGGUAUCAGGAUUUACUGGGUUUAGAGGUUGCGUAGGCGGAGUGUCAAGUCAGCGGUAAAAUGUCGGGGCUCAACCCCGUCGUGCCGUUGAACCUGACACCCUUGAGUGAGUGAGCAGUAAGCGGAAUGCGUGGUGUAGCAGUGAAAUGCAUAGAUAACACGCAGAACGCCGAUUGCGAAGGCAGCUUACCGGCGAUCAACUGACGCUGAGGCACGAAAGUGCGGAUAUCGAACAGGAUUAGAUACCCCUGUAGUC
rnacentral:rRNA from 1 species